rnacentral:ncRNA from 2 species
UCCUUAUCUGGAGUGGUGGAGGGACUGGCCCUGUGAAACCCGGCAACCGGCAAGCAAUUGCAAUGGUGCCAAUUCCUGCAAGGUUGUAAAUGCCUUGGGAGAUGAGAU